AAGUGAAGCCAUCCACACCGUGCAUGAGAAUGGUCAACAGAAGUGAAGCCACCCACACCGUGCAUGAGAAUGGUCAACAGAACUACAGUAACAAAGAAGCGACAUGCAGGCCAGCUCCAGGCAUACCCAUGUGACAAGAGGAUGUUCCACCCUGUCAGCUGGUCAAAUUUUCUCAAAACACUGUACACCUGUUCCUGAUUUUCCUUAGGAUCGUCUUCUUGCUGGGUUUCCUGGUUGUCGUGUUCAAGCUCUUGGCGGGCUAUGCCAUGUUCUACACCUUCCUAGCUCUGGUCAACCAGACCUCCAACGAGUGGUACAAGGGACGAAGGAAUGUCUGCCAGCACUGCCACCCUUCACCUGACCACUUCUGUAGCCCCCAGCCUCUGACCAGUCCAAAAGGUGGUUCUAUAGUAACGGGGUGCUUAGAAACCUGGGGUACUUUUGGUCAUGAGGUGUAUGUGGACACAUGCUCGUCAAACAUCUCAUUCCAAAAUCAUAGGAAUGAAUAUGGAGUUGGUCCCCCCUUUGCUGCUAUAACAGCCUCCACUCUUCUGGGAAGGCUUUCCACUAGAUGUUGAAACAUUGCUGCCGGGACUGCCGGGCUUCCAUUCAGCCACGAGAGCAUUAGUGACGUCACUAAUGUUGGGCGAUUAGGUCUGGCUCGCAGUCGGCAUUCCAGCUCAUUCCAAAUGUGUUCAAUGGGGUUGAGGUCAGGGCUCUGUGCAGGCCAGUCAAGUUCUGCCACACCAAUCUCAACAAACCAUUUCUGUAUGGACCUCAAUUUGUACACAGGGGCAUUAUCAUGCGGUAACAGGAACGGGCCUUCUCCAAACUGUUGUCACAAAGAUGGAAGUAAAGAAUUGUCUAGAAUGUCAUUGUAUGCUGUAGCGUUAAGAUUUCCAUUCACUGGAAAUAAUGGGCCUAGCUCAAACCAUGAAAAACAUUAUUCCUUCACCAAACUUUACAGUUGGCACUAUG